rnacentral:rRNA from 1 species
CGUGUAGGCGGGCUUUUAAGUCAGGGGUGAAAUGCCAAGGCUCAACCUUGGAACUGCCUUUGAUACUGGAAGUCUUGAGUCCGGGAGAGGUGAGUGGAACUGCGAGUGUAGAGGUGAAAUUCGUAGAUAUUCGCAAGAACACCAGUGGCGAAGGCGGCUCACUGGCCCGGAACUGACGCUGAGACGCGAAAGCGUGGGGAGCAAACAGGAUUAGAUACCCUGGUAGUCCACGCUGUAAACGAUGGAUGCUAGCCGUUGGGGAGCUUGCUCUUCAGUGGCGCAGCUAACGCUUUAAGCAUCCCGCCUGGGGAGUACGGUCGCAAGAUUAAA